UACGUAGGGUGCGAGCGUUAAUCGGAAUUACUGGGCGUAAAGCGUGCGCAGGCGGUUUUGUAAGCCAGAUGUGAAAUCCCCGGGCUUAACCUGGGAAUGGCAUUUGGGACUGCAAGGCUGGAGUGCGGCAGAGGAGACUGGAAUUCCUGGUGUAGCAGUGAAAUGCGUAGAUAUCAGGAGGAACACCGAUGGCGAAGGCGGGUUGCUGGGCUGACACUGACGCUGAGGCGCGAAAGCCAGGGGAGCGAACGGG
rnacentral:rRNA from 1 species